rnacentral:rRNA from 1 species
CUGUUGGUGAUCAUAGUAACUUUUCGAAUCGCAUGACUUUACAGUCGGUCGAUGGCUCAUUCAAAUUUCUUGCCCUAUCAAGUUUCGAUGGUAGGAUAGAGGCCUACCAUGCUUUUUACGGGUAACGGCGAAUUAGGGUUCGAUUCCGGAGAGGGAGCCUGAGAAACGGCUACCACAUCUAAGGAAGGCAGCAGGCUCGCAAAUUACCCAAUCCUGAUUCAGGGAGGUAGUGACAAUAAAUAACAAUCCAGGACUUCGGUCUUGGAAUUUGGAAUGAGAACAAUUUAAAUCUCUUAUCGAGGAACAAUUGGAGGGCAAGUCUGGUGCCAGCAGCCGCGGUAAUUCCAGCUCCAAUAGCGUAUAUUAAAGUUGUUGCAGUUAAAUAGCUCGUAGUUGAAUCUUGGGGCUGGUUUGGCGGUCGCGUCUUUGACGUGUACUGUCGGCCGGUUCUUCUACUUGUGGGGAACGUAUGUGCCCUUUGCGGGGUGUGUACGGG